ensembl:lncRNA
CAACCACAGGUCCUCCUCUGCUGAGUGCUGAGGCACAAGAACAAAACAUAACAGGAGCUCUCCUUUGAAAUCGCAACAGCUGCUAAAUGUCCCUCAGACAAUACACACGUUUAGCAGGCGACGAUACCAAGAAUCAAUCAGGUACACAAACAAAGUGGAACAUUGUCACACGCAGAAACACAUAGCAUUGGAAUGAACAACGACAAAGACUUUUGGUGUGUUAGAUUGUCUGCACACGCGCUGACAGAGAAGACGAUGCAGCUUGAGAAGACGACAGCAAGAGAUUGACACCACAACACGUCUGGUUUCCACUCCUAUAACAACACUCACGUGACAUUCACUGACCUGAAUAACCUCAAAUGGAAAUACUGCAGUAUUUUUUCCAAAGUGCCUUAUGCCUCUCUUGGUAACAGUAAGAUAAUGCAAAUAUCAAAAGCAAUACGUUGAAGGAAAUUUCUCCAAAGAAAAUGGAUGUCCUUUGCUGUAUUCCAGGAUACCUCCUCAACUAUGGCAACAGGCUCCCUCCCUCUUGCUGUGAUACCGUUAAAGAUGAAUAUCUCAGGGAUCUGAAGAAGAACGCAAUCAUCCAUUAAUAAGUCUACAGAUUAUUUUUUUUACGUGGCCCUAGAUUCCUUACCCGAUAUAUUGUGAUAAUGUGGCGCUGCAUAAAACCCAUUGACAAAAGGAUCAAGUUAUACGCCAAUUUAAUGAUAAGUAAUUUGUCACACAGCACAUAAAGGCACCAGGGCCUACUGUGAUUAGGCCUAUAUUUAUAAUAUUUUUACCAAUAAAACUGAAUACUAUAAAAGUUUAGAGAAAUCUAUCCCGAUGUAAUGUAGUGAACAUUAUACCAUAAUCCAGUCCGAGUAUUGGUAUUGUGGGAUUCCAGUUCAAUGUUUUACAGUAGCAAUUAGUGAAAUCAGUCACAAUACGAAAUGCUACUAAAAAAGUUUUUUUUAAAUUAAUUUAUAAUACUUUGACUAUAUAGUUUCACAGACAUAUUGUUGCAUUUUUUUCUGGUUUGUACGAAAUCGAUAAGAAUAAUAUAAAACCAGUCUGCAUACCACCAAGGUGAAUUGGUUUAGUCUUGACUCUUGGUUGACAGUGUUGGGGGCUGGGUAAUGUAUUGAUGCUUGAGUGCCAAAUCAACACAUUUAUUUCUAUUUGUCUUAGUC